rnacentral:tRNA from 1 species
GCAGCAGUAGUUCAGCUGGUUAGAAUGCCGCCCUGUCACGGCGGAGGUCGCGGGUUCGAGCCCCGUCCGCUGCGCCA